rnacentral:rRNA from 1 species
ACUCAAAUGAAUUGACGGGAGCUCGCACAAGUGGUGGAGCGUGUGGCUCAAUUCGUCGCUAAACGAAGAACCUUACCAAGAUUAGACAUCCUGCUGCACGCCCUAGGAAACUAGGGAAGCUUUCGAAGGUGCAGGACAGGUGAUGCACGGCUGUCGUCAGUUCGUGGUUUGAAUCGUUCCCUUCAGUGGGGUAACGAACGCAACCCUCGUUGCCAGUUAUAAGUGUCUGGCGAGACUGCCCCCUCACGGGGGAGGAAGGUGAGGAUGACGCCAAGUCAGCGUGUCCCUCUGAUAUCUUGGGCCGCACACGCGCUACAAUCGCCGUUACAAAGGGGCGCAAUACCGCAAGGUGGAGCAAAUCCUUAAAAGCGGCGCCAGUUCGGAUUGGAGUCUGCAACUCGACUCCAUGAAGCCGGAAUCACUAGUAAUCGUAGGUCAGCUAUACUACGGUGAAUACGUUCUCGAGCUUUGUACACACCGCCCGU